UUAAUAAUAGCUCAUCUCUACGCCUCUCUCUCUCUUUCUCUCUCCUCUCUCUCUCUCUCUCUCUCUGCCCUUCUCCAUAUCAACUUUUAGAAAGCGGCAGAAAAUGAAAUUCUCCGUGAAGAGGGGUAAUGGAAGCUUGAAUCCUCUAUCCAAAGGGGAUGACGUGUGGGGUGGGUGAAGAUGCGAUUUUUUUAGGGUUUUUUAUUUUAUUUUUCCAAAUUUUGCAAGCGGAAAGGGUUUUGAUGCAUAUGCAGAGAGAAAGCUUCAAACUUGGAUUUGAUGUAAGUUUAUUAACUGAUUCGAAGCUCCUCCAUUUUAAAUUCUUGUGUGAUGUUCUAUUCCCAUGCAAAGAGGUUUUCUAUUUCUCUUCGUUUUUAACCUGCUCGAUUAAUUUAUCUCUGUGUGUGUGUGUGUCUGUGUGUGUGUGUCUGUGUGUGUGUGUGUGUGUGUGUGUGUGUGUGAAUAAGAGAAGAAAUACAAAAGAAUCUCAAACAAGUUGGGCUGAUUGUUUCUGAACUCGUGUACAAAUCAUAUUUUCUCCACAAAAGUCUGAAUCUGAGAUCCAUGUGUGUAAUACAUAUAUAUAUGUGUGUGUGUGUGUGUGUGUGUGUGUGUGUGUGUGUGUGUGUAGAAUUGCAGAAGGAAUAUAUAUUAUAUAAUAAAAUAUGAGGCUGUAAAAAUUGGCAGGAUAUGUGCUUUGUUCUUCCUUUGGCUGUCAUGGUGUCUUUUAUUUAAAAUGGAGAAAGUCGUCUUGCACUCGUUUGUUCCGUGUCCUGCAAAUACGAGAGACUCUAGUUUUAACAAGCUUGCAAAAAGAAAUAGAGUAUUGAAUUACAUAUCAAAUAUGUUCUCGUUUCAACAUUUUCGAUUCGAAGCACAUUUUGCAUCUCAUGCAUGUGUAGAGAUAUGUAAAAUGUUCAGGCGUAUGGAAAGUGUAGAGGGAUGGGAAGCUACAGCAUAUUAUACUUCAUAUAUGGGUUCAAAAAACGGUUAGGCGUAUCUAUAGAGCCCUAAUAAGAGAUACUAAAGUAAGCAGUUAAGAUUGGUAUUCCACCCUCGUGAAUUGUUCUAUUUUUGUUGAAACGUUAGGAUCGGUGUUAGAAAAGAUGCUAGAAUAUAAAGAUGAGCUAAAAUGAAGCAAUGUGUUUCCAAUGGUUGUUUGGUGCUAUUUUUGAGUACUUUGGAUUUUGGAAACAAGUUCGAAAGGUACGUUUCCUUGUCUCUUACAAAUUUUAAUAUCUCAAGUCCCUUUGCUCGACAACAAUUUCAAGAAAAUAAUAGAACCACUUUAGAGGUGAUUGACAAAUUGACUAACAAGAAGAAUCACUUUGCCUUUUAGGGGUGGACCUUCAUCGGGACUUACCGAAAUCCAUUUUAUGAGUUUUAUCUUAUUUAACAUGUAUUAGGUGCAUUUUUUUUUCGAGACUUUAACAUUGUGCGGUUUACAAAAGAAAAGAGAUUCACAAAAGGUCUAAUCAGGCUCAAUAAUUGGUGUAUGGACAAUAUUGGUACAAAUGUGAUUUAAUACAUGAAUCAAGAUUUAAAUAGAGCCAAAAUCAAAUUGUCGAAUGUGGUACGAGACAAGGAGAACCUUUUUUAACUAUUGUUAUUUUCGUUUGAUAUCAUUUUUUUUGUGGACACAUUUCAUGUUCGUCUAGAGUCACAUGCUAUGCAAUAAAGAGGAGUUCUUGCCUCGAGGUUGCUAUGAAAGAAAACGAUGAAGUGUAGGAGAGUUAAACGUUUAGUAGAUGUUGAUUAAAAGUACGUUUUAUGUUUAAAUUUUAGUCUAAAGGGACAAUUUUGGAUGUGCCCAUUCCUUUCAAGCCCAUUUGAGAAUGCCUAUUCUCAUUCUUGCAUGUAUUAACUAAUCGAUUACGAUAAAUUGGAUCGGAUUUUGCUGUUUUUUCUUCAUUUUGAAUAAUCCGGUGUAUUAUGAAUCAUGUUUUUGGUAUUGUUGCUACGUGCCUCUGAACUCACAUGAUAUAUAAUCUCUAUUUUCAAUGUUGGUCCAUUGGUUGAACUUAUUAGUCGAACUUGGUAACUGUUUACGUGGUUUGAAAACCAACUCGACAGUGCCACAUUUAGGUCUGUAGUUUAAUCAAACUCCAAGAACUUUGGACCAAUUAGUUGGACGGUCUGUUUUGAUCUGUAGGGAAGCUCGUUUCCCCUUUUUUUUUUCUUUUUUAAUUUCUGAACUCUUUUCUAUGUAGAAGGCCAAAAUCUAGUCUUGCUCCAAAACCCGUAACUCUAUUUUCAUCAAAAACACGUAGCAUGAAGCACAAUGUUUCUAAAUGCAGGGCCGACUAAAUAUCUCUCUUUCUUGGUCUCUUCUACACCAAAACUAUGUUCCUAAUAGUAUUGAAUUUUUUUAGACUCGUGUAGGAUUUUGAGUGGAACUUGUGAGUACUAAAAUGGCGAAUGCAGGUAUUAGCUGCUAGUUAUAAUGCAUAAACCACUUUGCAUACGGGUGACCAGAAUGUAUAAAUCCUGGAGUAGUAUCGCAAGUUAAAUCAAUUAUUCUAGUUAAGUGGGAAGUUAAUAUACCGUGUUUAUCUUCUCACUCUUAAGAGUCACCGAAAAUCAAGAACACUAUAUAUUCCCCUUGAGCUUUACAAUAUCCUCUAUUCCAAAUAGGAAGAAGAGAACCAACUUGUUUAUGUUUCUUCCCUUAAAACAUCGACUUGGUACGUUUAAAAGCAAGUAGGAAAAAUAUGCAUUCAUCAUCUAGUUUCUUUUCUCUCUACAAUGUGAAUCCACGUCAACAACUAAAGGAAGCCUAAUUUUUCAGGUGAAGAUUAUUCCACCACGUUUGCGGAGAUAGUUUUCUUUUUGUAUGCAAUGAUAAAAGAGGCGUGGGCUAAAGCAAAGCAUAUAUAUUUUCCAUAUAUGUUCAAGCGUAAAAACAGAGCAAUAUUUAACGGUGAUACAGAAGAGGGUUCAAGCAGCUUACACCAUGCAACGAGUGCCUCGCUCACAAUAAAGAGGUAUAUAUUCCUCUAGCAGCUUUUAUUUAUACCUGCAUGCAUUUUUAUGAUUCUGCAGAUUAUUUAUUUUUAUUUUACACAUAAAAGUUUGAAGGAGGUCCGUCCGGUGUUGUAUGCUUCUAUUUGUCGUUUAGCCGUCUGCGGCAAUGUUGAGAUCUAUCACCACCUUCUUUUUCUUAGCACACUUAUUGCCUUCAACAAUCUGUAAUAUGUAAAACAAUUGUGUCUAAUAAAUUCAUUUGUGUCAUCAUAAUAUAUAUAUAUAUAUAUAUAUAUAUAUAUAUAUAUAUAUAUAUAUAUAUAUAUAUAUGCAGGGUUUCAACUUUAAUAACCUCGUUGAAAUUCUUUUUUUCUUCUUCCAGCAUCUUUUCCUGUUCACAUAAUAUAAGCACUUAUCUUACUUCACAUGAACCAAUUGUCCGCAAUAACAUGCUCUAUGCAUCUAAGCUUUUAUCUUUUUUCACACACACACACACACACUGGAGAAUACUCGGAUAACAACAAUUUCCCUGCAAUAUAAUAGUGGCAAAAAUAGAUUUCCGCACCUUUUCCUGAAGGCUUGACUGAGCAUCCGUCAUCAUUUUUGUCUGCAUGAAGUAAUAAAUUAAUAAAUUCUGACAUCACAAUGUUGUAUGGAUGGAAAUUAACUUUAAUAUGUUUUUACAGGUUGACAAGAAACUGGAAAGAAGUCUACUAGUCUACUGAUGUUCGAACAUUCUUGCCACAUAAGCUCAGUUCAUCAAAAAGGUAAACAAAAACUACUAUAUGAAUUUGACUUCUCUAGUUCAUGAAAUCGCAUUGAUAUACCACACACACAUUCAUAACCCACUCUUGAACAAACUAUAUGAGAUAAAAGUUAACGAGAAUAUCAAUGUUUUAAGACAAAUGUAUCAUUGCUUUGCUUGGUUCAAAAGAAAAACAUAGAGAAUCGAACAACUGCUGGUCUGAAUGAGGUAUGACCGUAUGAUGAAUUUUCUCUUAGCAGAAUACUUGUUUAAGUGCACUUUAUAUGUUUGGGGUCACAUUUGUUUUCUACAGUUCAUUGAGUAAACAAAUUAGUAGAAUAUACAAAGGGACUGCAAAAUAUGAUGGAGAGUGAAGAUGAAACCUUAGUCAAACGUAUCUCCAUUAAUGCAGUCUCAAGUUGUUUCUGCAUGAGACCAAGGUCCGCCACACUUAGCUUCUCAACACGUGGCUCCUUAAGUUCACUAUCGGAAGAAAUAUAACUUGUGAGUAGACAACCCCGAAAACUUUGCAACAAAAACAAAAUAAAAUUAUUCAGAAAUCGGGAGUUACCUUCCAACAGUUUUGAGAAGCUCACCAUAUGUAAGAUAAUCACCGUUUUUGGAGUACAGAUCCUGCCAAUCAAUCACCUUGUGAAAUGAAUGCCCUUAUAUGUAGAUUAGUGUGUAUAUUUUUGAAGAAUUUCUUCUUUUUACAAAUUUACAACUAUGUUCCCAUCUCUUAUAAAGAGAGUCGGCUCACUCUAUAAUAUUAUUAUAUGUCUGGCAUUUCUAUAAUAUUUCGUCUGACCAACCCCCUGCCUUUUCUAUAUUGACAUGGUGUCGACUGUCGAGUGUCGAGUGUAUCCAGGGAGAGUUGGAUUUUUUAUAUAAAAACCCAAAAAAAAAAAAAAAAAAAAACGAAAUUUUUGAAAAUGAAUCUCAAAAUCUACUUUGUAACCAUAAUUUCCGAGUAGUCCUCUUUGUUUUGUGACAAUCUUCGUGUUGUCCUCUAUGCUGUUAAUCUUGAAUCUUGUUAUUACAGCUCUUACUGCUCCGUCUUUUGUUACACUGCUAUCGAUUCUGCUACUUGUGGGAACCCUAGGUAAUGAAGAAAUUGUUGUAGUCAUGAACUAAUAAUAUCUACUUAUUCAUAGACUCUAGCUCGAGGGGAGUGUUACGUAACUUAAGCAGUUCCAACUUGAGGUGAGCAUUGGUGUCUAUAUAUUAUAGAAGUAUUGAACCUCCUUAGUCAGCAAAUUUUCAUUUUAACUUGACCCUAUAUUUUGAUUUUGUCUUUACUCGGAAUCCAAAUUUUAUACAAAUGUUCCUCUACUCCGUAUUUUUUUUUUCGUCUUUUCACAAAGACCUAAUUUUGUGUCGACUAAUAUGGUUAAUUAGGUAGGUCGACCUCAGAGCUAGGUGGACUACUGACUAAUAUGUUGUUACGUAUAUAAAUAAAUAAAUGUAUAUAUGAAUGGAUGUUGGUGGUUGACUAAAAUCAACUAUGUUGGUCGACUAAUUUAUCGUUACGUGUUAGAAGAUUAGCAGAUCACAGAUCGAGAAAGAGAGCGAGCAAACGGCAAUAGAUUCAAAACCAUCUAUCAAAGUAUCAUGAGCACUAAUAGAAAAAAUCUUCUGUCAUCUGACCAGAUUUUGUAGGCAUUGUCAUGAAACUAAGUAGAUUUUCGAAAAAAGGAACACUAGAAAACAAAUAGUGACUUAGAGAGCAAUAGCUCGAGAUAAGGCAUAUAUUAAGAACGAGUAAAUUAAGAAUAAAAAGAAGGGAUUGCAAAUGAAAAUUUAAACUUACGGUACAUUCGGCUAGAAAGGAAUUGAUUUAGGAAUUUCAUAUCCAAUGCUAUCAUUUCAGUUGUUUUUUGAGCAAUUGUGCGGGAUUACAAAUCUCUCGUUUCAAAUCCCUAAGUCCAAAGUGCAUAAGGCGCCAUUUGGGUGGAAUGAUUUGAUUUGGAGAAUGAAUUUGAAAUAACGAUUUAGAAUAACUCCAAUUUUGAGAUAAUUGAAAUCCACACGAAUGACCCAAUUUAUAACUAAAAUGGUGGAGUGUGGAUUUGAAAUUCUUCAUCAGAUCUCUCAGUUCAAACAAGUGCAAGAGAUUUAUUACUAUAGAUUUGAAAUCCCUGGUCCAUAUCCAAAUGGAGCUUAAGAGACUUUACUUCAAACAAAAAAAUUGCCUUCCUACUUUAGUUCUAAGUAAUGAAUCACGUCCGCUAGUAGAUUUAUUUCUAUCUUUGGAAGAAUUAUUAGGCCUCAAACAUCACACGAGACCGAUGUCUAUAAAAAUUCCAAACACCACAUAUCUCAACGAAUAAACAUCAAUCAAAAUCAUGUAUUUAAUAAUAUCACCCAUCUAUGCAUAUACGAGAGUGAAGUUGAAUUAUCCGAUCGAACUCCUAUUCUCAGAUUAAAUGACAAAAGACCAACAGUCAUAUAACAUUCUUGAAAAAUUACGGAAUUAUCUUACCUAAUUGAUAAGCGAUAAUAUUUCAAAUUUCAUUAAUGAUCAAUGUUUUGACAAUAUAAAUCUUGAGUAAGACCUGAGUAUUAAGUUUUUUUUUUUUUUUUUUUUUUUUUCUUUCGAAAUCCAUCUUCGGGCGUAAAUCUUACCUCUGUAUCGCAACCAUCAUUCUCACUCUCGAUUCGACUUUUAUAUUCUUGCAGGACCUGCGAUAUGCUGUUUAAUAACAACAGUAAAACAUGAUCAAGGUAUUAUAAUGCUCAUGCCAAAACAAAAUAAUAUUGAGGUAAAACCAAAAGAAGAAUAAAAAUGCAAUUGGAAUAAAGUUAAGGCAAACAAGAAAUGGCAUGAUCUUUCACUAAGAAACAAAAUCAUAUGUACGUUAUCAAAUAUGGAAUGUUGGAAAGUAGAAAAGGAAACAUUCUUAAAUUGUCUAGAAUUUAGAGUACAUUCAUUCCUUACAAACAGACAAUAUGUUGCUAGUACAUAUAAUAUCCAUUUGUUCCUUUUUCUUUCUUUUUUUGAUUAAAAAAUGAAAUAAAAAUAAAUCUUCGCUUAUAUAUGAGAGUCUUAAAAUGUGACCAAUCGACCAACCAAUAAGCAACGUGACACUCUAAAUAAGCUCAAGUUUUCACGUCUAAAAUAAAAAGUGAGGAUUGUAAUACACUUUUGUUACAUAGGAACUAAUGUAAGAUAGGCGUAAGAGAACAAGAAAAGCGAUAUCAAGGUGCAAAAAUGAAUUCAUGAUCAGUCGAAGAAAACAUGAUCAAAAGAGGAUAUGCCGAUUACGAGUAAGAACUUGCAGCCAGUGUUAACUUGGAAGCUCGAGUACAAUAAUCUUCUUCCAACAAGACACGUUUUGCGUAGAGGGUCGUGAAAUUACCCGUUCGAGACCAUUUAAUUCCUUGGGUUUUUUCCUUUUUUUUUUUUUGUUGGUUUUUUUCAAAUGUAGUCAUCAGAUGCAAAAUAUGUCUCUCUAUAUAGCUUGAACUUUGAAAAAAAUAAAAGAAAGUUUAAUGGAAGGACCAAAACUUGAUAAUAUCCAGAGUGUGUG
rnacentral:lncRNA from 1 species